CCUACGGGUGGCUGCAGUGGGGAAUAUUGGACAAUGGGGGCAACCCUGAUCCAGCCAUGCCGCGUGUGUGAAGAAGGCCCUCGGGUUGUAAAGCACUUUCAGUGAGGAAGAACGCCUGGUGGUUAAUACCCAUCAGGAAAGACAUCACUCACAGAAGAAGCACCGGCUAACUCCGUGCCAGCAGCCGCGGUAAUACGGAGGGUGCGAGCGUUAAUCGGAAUUACUGGGCGUAAAGCGCGCGUAGGUGGCUUGAUAAGCCGGUUGUGAAAGCCCCGGGCUCAACCUGGGAACGGCAUCCGGAACUGUCAAGCUAGAGUGCAGGAGAGGAAGGUGGAAUUCCCGGUGUAGCGGUGAAAUGCGUAGAGAUCGGGAGGAAUACCAGUGGCGAAGGCGGCCUUCUGGACUGAAACUGACACUGAGGUGCGAAAGCGUGGGUAGCAAACAGGAUUAGAUACCCUAGUAGUC
rnacentral:rRNA from 1 species